rnacentral:misc_RNA from 1 species
GAACGCACAUUGCGCCCAUUGGUAUUCCUUUGGGCAUGUCUGUUUGAGCGUCAUUACAACACCUCAGCGCAAGCUGGUUUUGAGCCGUGAGGGUUCUCUUUCUGAGCCCUUCCGCUUUAAAGUUGUAAGCUCUGCUGACCUCCAGCUUGACCGGAAACAUAGUAAACCAUUGCUUGUUUAUGGAACGGUUGGGGGGUUUUCGGCCUGAACAAAAUCUUCAAUUUCUAAGGUUUGACCUCAGAUCAGACAAGGAUACCCGCUGAACUUAAG